rnacentral:lncRNA from 1 species
CCCACGAUCAUCAGAAAGAAUGAUCCUUUGAAAUACUGUGAAAGAGGAUGGAGCUGCACUUUAUCCAGGUAUCGCCAAAAUUUCUUUGCGAUACUUUCCCGCCCUUGCUACUGAGGUGCCCAGUGAGCGCAUGUUUUCAACUGCAGGAAAUGCCAUAACAUCACGGCGAGAGAGCCCGUAGCCACGUGCUGUGCAACAGAUUGUGCUUCUGCAUCACAGUUUUGUAUCUGUCGGCA